rnacentral:rRNA from 1 species
CCCUACGGGAGGCAGCAGUGGGGAAUAUUGCACAAUGGGGGAAACCCUGAUGCAGCGACGCCGCGUGAAGGACGAAGUAUUUCGGUACGUAAACUUCUAUCAGCAGGGAAGAAAAUGACGGUACCUGACCAAGAAGCCCCGGCUAACUACGUGCCAGCAGCCGCGGUAAUACGUAGGGGGCAAGCGUUAUCCGGAUUUACUGGGUGUAAAGGGAGCGUAGACGGCAGCGCAAGUCUGGAGUGAAAUGCCGGGGCUCAACCCCGGAACUGCUUUGGAAACUGUGCAGCUAGAGUGCGGGAGAGGUA